rnacentral:rRNA from 1 species
AUUGAACGCUGGCGGCAUGCCUUACACAUGCAAGUCGAACGGCAGCACGGGUGCUUGCACCUGGUGGCGAGUGGCGAACGGGUGAGUAAUACAUCGGAACGUACCUUAUCGUGGGGGAUAACGCAGCGAAAGCUGUUCUAAUACCUCAUACGACCUGAGGGGGAAAGCGGGGGAGCGAAAGACCUCGCGCGAUUAGAGCGGCCGAUGCCUGAUUAGCAUGUUGGGGGGGUAAAAGCCCACCAAGGGGACGAUCAGUAGCUGGUCUGAGAGGACGAUCAGCCACACUGGGACUGAGACACGGCCCAGACUCCUACGGGAGGCAGCAGUGGGGAAUUUUGGACAAUGGGGGCAACCCUGAUCCAGCAAUGCCGCGUGAGUGAAGAAGGCCUUCGGGUUGUAAAGCUCUUUUGUCAGGGAAGAAACACCGGCUCUAACACAGUCCGGGAAUGACGGUACCUGAAGAAUAAGCACCGGCUAACUACGUGCCAGCCGCCGCAGUAA